AGAACUUAGCAGAGAUGCUUUGGUGCCUUCGGGAACUCUGAGACAGGUGCUGCAUGGCUGUCGUCAGCUCGUGUUGUGAAAUGUUGGGUUAAGUCCCGCAACGAGCGCAACCCUUAUCCCUUUGUUGCCAGCGGUCCGGCCGGGAACUCAAAGGAGACUGCCAGUGAUAAACUGGAGGAAGGUGGGGAUGACGUCAAGUCAUCAUGGCCCUUACGAGUAGGGCUACACACGUGCUACAAUGGCGCAUACAAAGAGAAGCGACCUCGCGAGAGCAAGCGGACCUCAUAAAGUGCGUCGUAGUCCGGAUUGGAGUCUGCAACUCGACUCCAUGAAGUCGGAAUCGCUAGUAAUCGUAGAUCAGAAUGCUACGGUGAAUACGUUCCCGGGCCUUGUACACACCGCCCGUCACACCAUGGGAGUGGGUUGCAAAAGAAGUAGGUAGCUUAACCUUCGGGAGGGCGCUUACCACUUUGUGAUUCAUGACUGGGGUGAAGUCGUAACAAGGUAAGCGUAGCGAG
rnacentral:rRNA from 1 species